UACGAAGGGGGCUAGCGUUGUUCGGAAUUACUGGGCGUAAAGCGCGCGCAGGCGGUCUUCCAAGUCAGUGGUGAAAGCCUGGAGCUCAACUCCAGAACUGCCAUUGAAACUGUUAGACUUGAGUACGAGAGAGGUGAGUGGAAUUCCCAGUGUAGAGGUGAAAUUCGUAGAUAUUGGGAAGAACACCAGUGGCGAAGGCGGCUCACUGGCUCGUAACUGACGCUCA
rnacentral:rRNA from 1 species